rnacentral:rRNA from 1 species
AUUGAACGCUGGCGGCAGGCCUAACACAUGCAAGUCGAGCGGAUGAAGGGAGCUUGCUCCUGGAUUCAGCGGCGGACGGGUGAGUAAUGCCUAGGAAUCUGCCUGGUAGUGGGGGAUAACGUCCGGAAACGGGCGCUAACACCGCAUACGUCCUGAGGGAGAAAGUGGGGGAUCUUCGGACCUCACGCUAUCAGAUGAGCCUAGGUCGGAUUAGCUAGUUGGUGGGGUAAAGGCCUACCAAGGCGACGAUCCGUAACUGGUCUGAGAGGAUGAUCAGUCACACUGGAACUGAGACACGGUCCAGACUCCUACGGGAGGCAGCAGUGGGGAAUAUUGGACAAUGGGCGAAAGCCUGAUCCAGCCAUGCCACGUGUGUGAAGAAGGUCUUCGGAUUGUAAAGCACUUUAAGUUGGGAGGAAGGGCAGUAAGUUAAUACCUUGCUGUUUUGACGUUACCAACAGAAUAAGCACCGGCUAACUUCGUG